rnacentral:rRNA from 1 species
UACGGGGGGGGCAAGCGUUGUUCGGAAUUACUGGGCGUAAAGGGCUCGUAGGCGGCCAACUAAGUCAGACGUGAAAUCCCUCGGCUUAACCGGGGAACUGCGUCUGAUACUGGAUGGCUAGAGUUUGGGAGAGGGAUGCGGAAUUCCAGGUGUAGCGGUGAAAUGCGUAGAUAUCAGUCGGAACACCGGUGGCGAAGGCGGCUUCUUGGGCCUUAACUGACGCUGAGGCGCGAAAGCUGGGGGAGCGAACGGG